UUCUUUCAGGUCUGUGGUUGCGGAUUUUCCUAGUCCAAGGCAGAUGCGGUCAAAAGGAUCCACGUAAGCUACCAACAAAUUGUUUGGGGCGAUCAUGGCGCAUCCUAGGGGUAAGUCGCACCGUCUGUAUUACAUAUAAAUGCAGCAUAGGGCUGCGCAGGCGAGAGAACGAUGUCGUUGGCUUAGUUCCAGUGCGCGAGUGUGGGGGCAAAGACCAGGUCAGCUGAAAGAA
rnacentral:ncRNA from 12 species